CAUUUUGUGGAUUUAGUGUUCAUACUUUAAUCAUGUAAAAAGGUGAGUUCAUUGACUCUGUGUAUGCAAAUUUUCUAUAUAUAUGUAAAACAGUGGGCAUGAGUCAGUUUAUGUAUUUUUCUCUGAUCACUAUAGGCAGUGACAAACAGCUUCAGGUCAUUUACACUUUAAAGUGCAUCAUGUUCACUGAAGCUUUACUGCUGCUUCUGGCAAGUCUAAACUGUAUUCAUUCAUAUGAACUCUCUCAGCCUGAGUUUCUGACUGUUCGUCCUGAUGGCUCUCUAACUAUCGACUGUAAAGUCUCUUAUUCAGUUACUAGCUAUAGUACAGGCUGGAUCCGUCAACCUGCAGGAAAACCUCUGGAGUGGAUUGGGUUGAUAUAUUAUGAUGGAGACUUAGCCUACAAGGAUUCACUAAAAAAUAAGUUCAGCAUCAGCAGAGACACCUUCAGUAAUACGAUAACAUUGAAAGGAAACAAUAUUCAAGCUCAAGACACAGCUGUGUAUUAUUGCCAAAUAUCACAGUGA